rnacentral:rRNA from 1 species
AUGGCGGCGAAGAGGUCUCUUCCGCCGUGGCUGUAUGGCGAAGAGAAGGAGCGCAUGGAGCGGUACAGGACCAACCGCAAUGAGCUGUUGCUGCAGGGCCAUGAUCCCGACGCCAUCAUGGACCGCUGGGAGGAUGAGCAGAAACGCCGGAAGAGUAGCAGCGGGAGGCGCGUCAGGUGCGUGGUCGAGAAGGUUGGGGGUGUGAUUUACGUCAGGACAGUGGUCGAGGACGUGGAGGAGAUUCGCAAGGGGUGCGAGAAGGAGACGGCGAACGGCGACGCUCCAGCCGCCGCCGGUCAGAUCGGCGAGGAAAACGAGGAAAAAUCUGCCGGCGAGGCACCAGCUUGUGCCGUCGCCGCCGGUCAGACAAGGGAGGAAAAGGAGGCACCGAACGGCGACGCACCAGGAGGCGCUCAGAUCAGGGAGAUGCAGGCAGCGGAGACGUCGUCGGUGGAUUUAUCAGCGUCUAACAAUGCAUCGUAUCUGGGAUAA